CCGGAGGACGCGGCGGCGGGCGCGGGGCGUGCGCGGCGGGGCAGGCGCUCGCUGCUCGCUCGGAAAGCGCCGCUGCGCGUCGCGGCCAUGUCCUGGCUGUGGCGAGAAAUCCUCCUGGAGAGCCUCCUGGGGUAUGUUUCUUGGUCUCUCUGCCAUGGCCUGGGACCGAUGAUUUAUUACUUUCCCCUGCAAACUCUAGAACUCACUGGGCUUGAAGGUUUUGGCAUAGUGUUUCUUUCUCCAAUAUUCCUAACACUUACUCCUUUCUGGAAAUUGGCUAACAAGAAGUGGAUGCUAAUCCUGUUGCGGAUAAUUACUAUUGGCAGCAUCGCCUCCUUCCAGGCUCCAAAUGCCAGAGUUCGGCUAGUGGUCCUUGCCCUUGGAGUGUCUUCCUCGUUGAUAGUACAAGCCGUGACAUGGUGGACAGGAAGUGGCUUACAAAGGUACCUCAGAAUCUGGGGAUUCAUCUUAGGACAGAUUCUUCUUCUUGUUCUCCGCAUAUGGUACACUUCACUAAAUCCAAUCUGGAGUUAUCAGAUGUCCAACAGAGUGAUACUGACAUUAAGUACCAUAGCCACACUUGAUCGCAUUUACACAGAUGGCGAUUGCAGUAAGCCAGAGGGGAAAAAUACUGGAGUGGCAGUCAAGGGCGUGGCCUCCAGACCUACCUGGUGCCUGGCAGGGGCUGCCUUUGGCAGUCUCGUGUUCCUCACCCACUGGAUUUUUGGAGAGGUCUCGCUUGUUUCCAGAUGGGCCGUGAGUGGGCACCCCCAUCCAGGGCCAGAUCCUAACCCAUUUGGAGGUGCAGUUCUGCUGAGCUUGGCGAGCGGAUUGAUGCUCUCAGCUUGUUCAUGGUUUCCUGGUACCAGUUUACUCUGGUGGGUCACAGGAGCAGCUUCAGCUGCGGGCCUUCUUUACCUCCCCACGUGGGCAGCUGCCGUUUCUGGCUGUGUGCUUGCUGUCUUCACAGCGUCCAUGUGGCCUCAAGUGCUUGGACAUCUUAUUGGCUCAGGGUCAGGCCCUGGGAAAGCCAUGACCAUUGCCAUGGUAUUUUAUCUCCUGGAGAUCCUUUUCUGUGCAUGGUGCACGGCUUUUAAGUUUGUUCCAGGAGGUGUCUACGCUAGAGAAAGAUCUGAUUUGCUUUUGGGGACAGUGAUGCUAAUUAUUGGACUAAAUAUGCUAUUUAGUCCUAAGAAAAGCCUUGACUUUCUUCAAACAAAAAACAGUCCUAAAGUGCUUUUCAGAAAGAGUGAAAAAUAUAUGAAACUUUUUUUGUGGCUGCUUGUUGGUGCGGGGCUACUGGGAUUAGGACUACGGCAUAAAACCUAUGAGAGGAAAUUGGGCAAAGGGGGACCAGCCACAGAGGUCUCUGCUGCCAUCUGGCCUUUUCGGUUUGGCUAUGACAAUGAAGGAUGGUCCAAUCUAGAAGGAUCGGCUCAGCUGCUCAGUCAAACAGGUGCAGAUUUCAUAACAAUUUUGGAGAGUGAUGCUUCUAAGCCCUAUAUUGGGAACAAUGACUUAACCAUGUGGCUAGGGGAGAAGUUGGGUUUCUAUACUGACUUUGGCCCAAGCACAAGGGAUCACACGUGGGGGAUUAUGGUUUUGUCCCGAUACCCAAUUGUGAAGUCAGAGCACCACCUUCUUCCAUCACCAGAGGGCGAGAUCGCACCAGCUAUAACAAUGACUGUUAACAUCUCGGACAAACUGGUGGAUUUUGUCGUGACACACUUUGGGAAUCAUGAAGAUGACCUUGACAGGAAACUUCAGGCUAUUGCUGUUUCAAAACUACUGAAAAGCAGCUCUAAUCAAGUGAUAUUUCUGGGAUAUAUCACUUCAGCACCUGGUUCCAGGGAUUAUACACAGCUCAUUGAACACGGCAAUGUGAAGGAUAUUGACAGCACAGAUCGAGACAGAUGGUGUGAAUAUAUUAUGUAUCGAGGGCUGAUCAGGCAUUGUUCUAAGCAGGGAGGCUGUCACGGGAACCAAACAGAACCCUUGACUACCAUACAGCUUACAUUCCAGUGGAAGGAGACAGAAGAUUGGGCUAUGCAAGAAUCUCCCGUGCUGAACUGAGUGACUCUGAAAUUCAGAUGGCCAAAUUUAGGAUCCCUGAUGACCCCAUUAAUUAUAGAGACAAUCAGAAAGUAGUCACAGACCAGAGGGCAGUUCCUAAGGAAAUUCAUUUCAAUCCUAGAUUUGGAUCCUAUAAAGAAGGACACCAUUAUGAGAACGAUCACCAUUUUCAUAUGAGUACUCCCAAAUACUUUUUAUGACCUAUUUAAAACAGGAUUCAUUGACUGAGCGUCUGUGGAAAACAAAAGUAUAUAAGAAGAGAGAUGCAUGAAAAUGGGAAACUACACACAAAGAACCUCAGUUUUGAAAAAAUAUGGUAUUUAUGCAGUGGGAAAUUCUAUCAAUUUAUUUAAAUAUCUUACUAAAUAAAAGCAUUUCUCCAAA